GACGAACGCUGGCGGCGUGCCUAGUACAUGCAAGUAGAACGCUGAAGGAGGAGCUUGCUUCUCUGGAUGAGUUGCGAACGGGUGAGUAACGCGUAGGUAACCUGCCUGGUAGCGGGGGAUAACUAUUGGAAACGAUAGCUAAUACCGCAUAAGAGUAGAUGUUGCAUGACAUUUACUUAAAAGGUGCAAUUGCAUCACUACCAGAUGGACCUGCGUUGUAUUAGCUAGUUGGUGAGGUAACGGCUCACCAAGGCAACGAUACAUAGCCGACCUGAGAGGGUGAUCGGCCACACUGGGACUGAGACACGGCCCAGACUCCUACGGGAGGCAGCAGUAGGGAAUCUUCGGCAAUGGACGGAAGUCUGACCGAGCAACGCCGCGUGAGUGAAGAAGGUUUUCGGAUCGUAAAGCUCUGUUGUAAGAGAAGAACGAGUGUGAGAGUGGAAAGUUCACACUGUGACGGUAUCUUACCAGAAAGGGACGGCUAACUACGUG
rnacentral:rRNA from 1 species